ensembl:lncRNA
UCAGUGUGUCCUGAUUGAGAUAAACUCUGUGUUGAACUGAAUCUUGUGUGAAUCUUCAAGUGAAUCAUGAUGAUUGUGGAUGUGUUUUUCAGUGAGGAAUGAAACUGCAGCGACUCCAAACUCAGGUGAGGUUCAGCUGAUAAACGUCUGAUUAUUCACUAAUAAAACACUGCAGAUCUGAUCCACUUUCACUCUUUUCUCUCAUAUUGACUCAUAUUUGUGAUCUUAAUAUGUUUUUAAAGAUGUAUUGAAUGAAGUGUCUCCAGAUCUCCAACAUUCAGAUCAGUGGUGGUGGAUUCCUGCUCUUAUCAUUGUUCUUCUGGUUUUGAUCUGUUUCUUGCUGCGGAAAAGGAUCUUCAGGUGUUUUCAAAGGGAAGCACAGGUUAUCAGUCAGCAUGAAGCUCCAGACAACAGGUGAGUGAAUCAAACUGAUUUAUUGAAUCACAUGA